GGGAAAAAUUUAGGUUGUCUGAAGCCUGUUAUCUGCCUCUGCACCCCAUGUUCUGCAGGAGGCUGACUAAUGUGCAUGUUUGCAUAAUUACCAGGGUCUGUAAGCAUCUGUGAGCGCACAAACCCCGUGGGAUUCUGGUCACACAGAGGCUGCAAACCUGAUGCUUUGUGUGCCUCUGCAGUGUUUGGGAAUCAUCCAGGCGGGAUCACUUCAUGGCUCAUGUCAUAUUAGAGCUCGCUUCCUCAAGCAGCUCCUGCUGCAUCCCUGUCUGCUCUAGUCAAUGGGAAAAUGCAGCCCACAGCCACUCAGCCCCCUGAAAGCAGACCUUGCAUGAUCCCAUGCAGCUUGCUUUGGUUUCUAAUCUAUCUGCUCUAUUCUCUCUUGUUCCUUCCUUAGCCCGUGAUUCAUCCUGGCCAUGAGGAGGAUUCAGAAUGAAACUGCAAAGCAGAGCAAAACCUUUUUUCUGCCUCCUUCGACUCAGAUGCAGAUGGAUGUUAUUAGAAAGGUUUUUACUUCGAAUGUGCGCGGCUUGUCCACAUGGCUGAGAUUAGUGCUCAAUACUCAUAUAAUGCUUUUCAUCCUCAAAAGGACUUUACAAGCUCCAGCCCUCAAAACACCCCCACAAGUUACUGGAUGGUUUCUUCCUGGAAGAAUGGAUGGAACACAAAUUGAUGGAGUAUGGUAUUGCUAAUUUAAGGAGAAGCUGGGGCAGAUGUUGACAUGAGAUCUGGAGCACACCUUCCCAGCAGGGGUACCAGGACAGAAGACCUCCCAUCACCACUUUUACUCUGAGCGAUGAGGAGCAGACCUGUACCAUGGUCACAAGCACAGAGGAGGUUUGUGUAGAUGUUCCAGAGCUUCAGAAACACACGCUUGACCUUCGAGAGUUGCUGCUGAUUUGUUCAGUGCUCACACAGUGCGCAGCACAGGCCUCCUGGGUGCUGCUGCAGUACAGCCACCUUUCCUUUUGUUUGGGCACCUUUAUCAGCACAGCUAAAGGGAACACUGUGUGGACUGUGAAUUCCUCUCCAAGAUCAUGUAAAUACUUGGACAGUUUCUCUGCUGUUUCUCUGGUAUUAAUCUAACUAAUUAAAGCUGGUUUGCAUACAUCUGCAGCUACAGCAGUAGUUUAAUGAUAAAUAUUCCCAAAUGUAGCUAUGCAAAUAGUCACAAAUUCUGAAUAAAUAUGUGAAAUGCAUUAUGGUAGUCAAAAAUUCUUCAGUUUUUCCUUCAAGAAAAAAACAAAGAAUGAUUUUCCUUUAUGGUACAGGCCAGGUUCUCUUCUGUAACCUUCAGAAUUUCAUAUGAGUAAAGGAUCAUAAAACCUGCAGUAAACAUUCAAGGAUUAUUUUACUAUGGUCUGUGUUAGCUUUCUGUCUAUCAGAGGUGCAGAGUGGUUGUUCCAUAUUAUGCCCAUACAUAAGUGAUUACUGUAUGACAAAUAUCCACAAUGACAGAGGAUGUUAUGUAAAAAAUUAACAGACAAAACCACCCAAACAAACAGACAAACAAACAUGCAAACAAGCAAACUCACGUGCCCUUCAUCAUAAUGCAAAAGGUACUAAAAACUGGAAUUGCGAGUGGUAGUAAUCCCAGCCAUGCAUAAAUCCCAAAAGGUGACAGUCAUUCUUGGAAAUGGUGCCACCCUAAAGAGGGAGCAUAGAGGCUAAUCUUAUUUGAAGGAUAAGAUCAUCUCCCCUUGGUAGUGGUCUUACUUGUACAUAAAAUAAUUAAUCUUUGACUUAAAACCCAACAAAAUUGGCUUCUGCCCAGUCCAGAGGGGAUGGCUGCUGUUGUCAAGGGCAGCUCUGGAGGGUUUCACCAGGCCAAUACCUCUGUUCCCCUAUAACUCUCUACCUCCAUGAAUAGUUAUGGAAGUAUCUUUUUAUGGUUGCCAAGAAGAUGCCAGGAGAGAUCUGGGAAGGAGAGGGGCAAUCCUGAGGGCUGGAGUUUAACUGCAUGAAUCUGCUGCAGCUGCCAUGCCAUCUCCAGGAGGUAGAUGGAAACGAGUACCUACCCAAAAAAUGGGAGAAAGGAGCAUCCCUGGGCUUAUAACCAUAUAGACUGUACAUAACUUGCUCAACUCCCUCAAAGUGGCAAUGUUUUAUUUUUUACCAAGACAGACUCGUGCAUCCCAAGCAAACCAAGCAUUUAACUGUGGGUGACUAACUACAGGUGUAAUGAAUUGAAAUCCAUGUGGCUAAGCCAAGUGCAAGCUUUUAGAAGUGUAUCUUCUUAAAAAUGAUGUUUAGCAAAUGAACAAAAUGCUCCCAGAACUGCUGAAUUUGUUUCCUUAGCAUUUUAGCUGUUUGACCUGACCAUUUCAAAUUACCUCUUGAAAGAAAUGGACAUAUUCAGGAGAGGAGAUACCCUGUAUUUCUAAUGCAAAAUGCUUCUAGAAAAUGACAUAGCUAUUACUUAUAGCUAUCCAAAAAGAUAUUAUGCUGAGUUGUCAUAUUUUGUGUUGCAGGCUUUUCAUACUGUUGAAAUAUCAACAUCAUAUGUACUGUGUGUGUACAGUUAACUCUUGGUCUCCUGGUGCAAGAUGAGUAGGAAACCUGUGUAAUGUAUUAACAUGACCAGAAAAACACCCCCUCAAAAAAAAUCACUCCAUUGUAAAUUAGGGUAAGACUAGAUAACACCUGAAGAGUAUUAUCUAACCUGAAGAGUAACCAAUAAGCAAAAUGAAUGGCAUGUCCUGGUAUACAUGUGUAUUUUAAAUCAUAGUGAUUUUUUGUUGAAGCUGGAAAACAGGAAGAGAGUGAGAGUAAGAGAAAAUGUAAGUUGCAAAAACAUUUGAUACCAUAAAUUAUGGUUUGUUGAAUACUUGUAGUGAAAAAUGGGGGUUUCUGGAGAUAAUUGCAUGUUUUCUCAAGUAAUAACUGUCCUUACUCUGAAUCUUGAUGAUUAUUUACUGAUUUAUUGUUGGGAUGUUUUUUUUUUCUAUUCAGAAAUAACUAGACUGAUUUCAGCAAGAGAAAAAGCCCAGCAUAAAGGACAUGCUAGUAUCUGCCAUGGAGGAUAUGAAUAAUCAGAAAUAUUUGCAUUAUACAAAUAUGUUGCUUACAGAUACAAAAAAAGGUGUUAACACAACACAUCCUUAAAUAUUAUCGAGAUAUUGUUGAGUAUAUUUGUACAUAGUUCUGUAUGUACAAUUCUCUUCAUUCAUUCCCAUUUAUAACAUUUCACGUAGCCUUUGACACAGAUCUAUAACCAUUGAGAUUUGUGACACUGAUCAGAAUACAGUGAGAGCCCUGAAAUCCCAUUCUCCGACAUGAAACAUCCCUAUGAAUCACAGGUAUUGUGCUACCAGACAGCACAGCAAAAAAUUAACCAGAGCAAAACACUCGACUUGGUGCUGUUACAGCUAAUAGGUCUGAAAUGAAAGAUAAUUGCAUAUUAAAAUAGAGUGGGUAGCUCUGUUUUGAUGUAGAGAUAUAAAGAUGUCAGGCAAGCUAGGCUGCAGCAGCAGGGAAUGGGUGCCCUGAAGUGAUUGAGGACUGAAGCCCAAGAGAGCAUUCCUCACAUUCCUGUGGCACUCCUCCUAUACAUAUGCCCCCAAAAAAGGGAAUUCCAGCACUCUGAAUUGGUAAACUGAGCUUCAGAAAAGCUGGCACUUUUCUAUAGCUGCAGGCUUGAUUCAUUUGAAGGAAUUAUUAUCAUCUCUGGAUGAUGAACACGAGGCAUAUUUAAACUGUUAUUUUUUAGGGCAAAGGGCAUGACAUUUCCAAUAUGUUACUAAAAAAAAAAAAAAAAAAGAAAAAAAUUAAAAAUCCCCCAUAAGGACUUCUAGUAAGCACCAAUAAACAAGAUGUAGAGAAUGUGGAGCACUCCCUAGUAUUUUCCCAUGAUAUGCCCAGAAUAAUUGGUAUUACUGCAAAAAUAUUUUGCUGACACAUCUGAGUGGGAUUAGCCCAAAGAGCUAUCCUUGUUAAUGAGCCAUAUCUAGAAAUUGAGUAGGUUUAGUAGAUUACUGUCUGAAGACACAGCAUUUUUGAGAACCACUUAUGUCUAAAAGUGUAACAUAUUUUCUCCUGGGACUAGCAGUGUACGUUUUGUAAGGAAAAGAUGGUUAUCCCUGGGAAAUUUCACAAAUGAAAAA